rnacentral:rRNA from 1 species
AGCGAACGCUGGCGGCAGGCUUAACACAUGCAAGUCGAGCGGGCAUCCUUGUGGUGUCAGCGGCAGACGGGUGAGUAACGCGUGGGAACGUGCCCUUCGGUUCGGAAUAACUCAGGGAAACUUGAGCUAAUACCGGAUACGUGCGAGAGCAGAAAGGUUUAUCUGCCGAAGGAUCGGCCCGCGUCUGAUUAGCUAGUUGGUGAGGUUACGGCUCACCAAGGCGACGAUCAGUAGCUGGUCUGAGAGGAUGAUCAGCCACACUGGGACUGAGGCACGGCCCAGACUCCUACGGGAGGCAGCAGUGGGGAAUAUUGGACAAUGGGGGCAACCCUGAUCCAGCCAUGCCGCGUGAGUGAUGAUGGCCUUAGGGUUGUAAAGCUCUUUUCUCCGGGACGAUAAUGACGGUACCGGAGGAAUAAGCCCCGGCUAACUUCGUG